UAGGCCAGAGCCCUUUCUUGAUUGAUGCCCUGCCCUGAUUGAGGGCCCCGGGCAAACAGACUCUCUACCGUUACUUGGCCUGACUGCAGGCUAGGGCCAUUAACACUGAGCUAAUUGUCCCCUGAACCAAGGUACCCCCGGAAGUAUCGUAGCAAGGGGCAUGGUCAAAGGGGCUGACGGCGCCAGAAAUGGGGAUGGGGUGUGGAAACCUGCCAAAAACUGUUAGGUGAUGAAAGCUAUCAAAUGGUUAACUACUCUGUAACGGGCCGGUGUGGCUCCCCUCCUCCCCUGGGAGGGUUGAGCCCCGGACACCGGAAGGGGCGGGGCUACAGAACAGUGAGCCCGCCCCUCAGAGGGUCAGGCGGUGACCCAGAAGUAUAAAAGCCGGCCAUCCGAGCUCAGUCAGAGCCCAGCCACCGCCGGGAGCAAACCUGCCCGAGGGAGCUCGUGACUGGGAAGACACUGGGGCCCAGAGCAGUUGCCCGGACUGGCCGGAGCUUCCCCUCACUCGCUACCGGGAGGACCCGCCGGAGCUUCCCCGUGCCACCUACGACGAGGAGCCACCAGAGACUUCCCCUCUCCGCUGUUGUUACCCCGAGGAACCCCCGGAGCAGCACUGGCCGGACUUCCCCGAGGAACUGCCGGAUCUACCCCCCACCCGGGCUGCGAGGAGCCCAUGCUGUGGGACUUCCCGGGAGUGGACGCCGCGGACCAGAACACAGACCGCUCCACUGGAUCCCACAACCCAUACAGGGAGAAAGCCGUAGAAAAUGCUGACAUCUCCAAAAUCAUAUCAGGGCAAGAAAAGGCACUUGCUGUUUGCAACACUUGUACAGGACAGACACAGGGUGAGGGCUAGACUAAGUGGCCAUGGUUAGUCCUGCUCCAUCUCUACCGUCUCAGUUUCCAUCUACAGCUGUUCACACUCAAAAUGCAGGACAGGGAACCUGGCUAUGCCACUGCCUUAGUCAGCCCUGCCGCUGCAGCACACAUGGUAGCAGAUGAGACAGAAUGAGGCCCAGCUCCAGGAGGGUACCACAGCCAGUGCUGCGAAGGGAGCUGCAUGGCCUGUACGGCUGGGAGAGGACAAGGGUGGUCAUGGGGGAGAAGAGAGCCUGGCAGAGACAAAAUACUGCAAAUUAUGCAGAAACAGGGCUGAGCAAAAUUGUCUCCAGUGUCCGUUAGGGUGGAUUUCCCUGCACCCAGCCACCCAGAAGCAGGUAAGGGAACAGGGCCCCUGGGUGCCACGCUAGGGGUACAUGCAGUGCCCACAGCCAUUCCAGGGAGGCAGCUCAGAUAUGUAACUUACAUCCCCACUGGUCAAUUUCACCAUCGUUCUGCAGGAGGCGCCAUUGCUGCAGAAGCCCUGAAGGCUACCUGCAUUGAACCGUCCCUCCCAAUGAAGGCCAGGGCCUGGAGCCACUCCCUGAAUUAAACCCCCUUCUUGUGCAGUGGGUAGGUGAAGGCAGCCAAUGGCCUUUCAAGUCUUGGAUGGUUUCAGGGCCAGAAAGGGGGAUGGAGAGAGAGGAGGUCGGGGAGAGGUUACAUCCACCCUGGACUCCUCUCUGCAUUUCACCCCAAGUUACUAAGCUACAGCCUCCCCCCGCCUCUGGUGCCAAUGCUGAGGAGACUCUUGGGGGGUGAAUUGGUCUCCUGCACCCCUCACUCUCCUUCUCUGUUACCUGCUUCCCACAAUAGACAGACACAGUUAAACUCUCCCAGUGUCACAGUUACUGUCACUCACUGCCCCUGCACAGAGGCAUUUGUUCCCUGUCUUCCCAACUUACAUGGUACCAUGGGGAUGACUGCACCCAAAAGAACCUCUCGAUUUGUGCUGUCCUUUCACCUGUGUUGCUCCCUGAAAGCACAAUCACAUGCAACCACUAGGAGGCAGAUUUUGAAGACAAGAAACCAAUAUAACUCCAUAGUUCUAAGAGGCGAACGCCCCCAGCUACAGACAAUAGCAGGGGUACGCCAGGGGGUGUGCUAUGAGUUACUGCCCUGCAGAAGGGGUGCGGCAUAUAUAGUUUAUGGGAAUGUGCUUCCCCUUUGAUUGUACAUUACAAGGCUGCUCCUUAUUCCUGU